GGAGGAAAAGAAGAAGGAGAAGAUGAAGAAGAAGGAUUCUAGUUCUUCAUCCUCUGACAGCUCCUCAUCCUCCAACCUCUGACAGUGAUGAUGACAAAAAGAAAAAGAUGAAGAAAAAAGGAUUCCAGCUCUGAUGAUUCAGAUAGCGAGAAAGACAAGAAGAAGAAGAAGAAGAAGAAGAAGAAGAAGAAGACAAAGAAAAAGG